rnacentral:rRNA from 1 species
UACGGAGGGAGCUAGCGUUAUUCGGAAUUACUGGGCGUAAAGCGUACGUAGGCGGCUUUGUAAGUAAGAGGUGAAAGCCCGGAGCUCAACUCCGGAACUGCCUUUUAGACUGCAUCGCUUGAAUCCAGGAGAGGUGAGUGGAAUUCCGAGUGUAGAGGUGAAAUUCGUAGAUAUUCGGAAGAAUACCAGUGGCGAAGGCGGCUCACUGGACUGGUAUUGACGCUGAGGUACGAAAGCGUGGGGAGCAAACAGG